UACGAAGGGGGCUAGCGUUGUUCGGAUUUACUGGGCGUAAAGCGCACGUAGGCGGCUCGAUCAGUCAGGGGUGAAAUCCCUGGGCUCAACCCUGGAACUGCCUUUGAUACUGUCGAUCUGGAGUAUGGAAGAGGUGAGUGGAAUUCCGAGUGUAGAGGUGAAAUUCGUAGAUAUUCGGAGGAACACCAGUGGCGAAGGCGGCGCACUGGUCCAUUACUGACGCUGAGGUGCGAAAGCGUGGGGAGCAAACAGG
rnacentral:rRNA from 1 species